CGAGGCGAACCGGGGGAACUGAAACAUCUCAGUACCCCGAGGAAAAGAAAUCAACCGAGAUUCCCCUAGUAGCGGCGAGCGAACGGGGAGUAGCCCAGAGUCAGCAUCGAUAUUAGCAUCAGGAGAAGGGUCUGGAAAGGCCAGCCAUAAAGGGUGAUAGCCCCGUAUCCGAAGGUGUUAGUAUCGUGAGAUCGAAGAGUAGGGCGGGACACGUGUUAUCCUGUCUGAAUAAGGGGGGACCAUCCUCCAAGGCUAAAUACUCCUGACUGACCGAUAGUGAACCAGUACCGUGAGGGAAAGGCGAAAAGAACCCCGGCGAGGGGAGUGAAAGAGAACCUGAAACCGUGUACGUACAAGCAGUGGGAGCCCCAUCACUCAAGUGCCUCGGCAGUUGGGUGAUGGUAUACCAUCACAAUAACAGCGCAGGCUUUGCCAACAAGGUUGUUCGGUUUUUUCAAGCCGCAGCGCAGUGUAGCUAGAAGUACACGAGCAGCGGAAGUUAAAAAAGCGGGCAAGAUUAGCCGCAAAGACAAGCGGGACAUUUGAGGAUGGGGUGACUGCGUACCUUUUGUAUAAUGGGUCAGCGACUUAUAUUCUGUAGCAAGGUUAACCGUAUAGGGGAGCCGUAGGGAAACCGAGUCUUAACUGGGCGUCAAGUUGCAGGGUAUAGACCCGAAACCCGGUGAUCUAGCCAUGGGCAGGUUGAAG
rnacentral:rRNA from 1 species